UGGCUGAGCAGUACCGAGCCAUCGGUAUAGAUGUGUACCAAAGCACCCGCUUGAUUCAGGAAUGAAGCGGUGAAAGCUAUACCAAACAUGAUUAAUGUAUUCCUGUGCUCCUUCAAUGUAUCACACGCUGUAACACAUCUGUAUCAGUAUACCUGCAAGAGACAUAUGUAUUACAUGUAGUACCAUGGUACAUGGUAUACGAGGACCCUCUGUCUAUGGAGUAACAGCUAAUACUUAUCGCGAUACUCGUCGAAAAGACAAAAGGAUGCUACUAGCGGGCAGUCCGUACGGAACGUUACAAUUGUCGGCGAUUAAAUAAUGUGUAGCGCAAACAUUGGUAUACGGGUGAGUGCAACGUACGUAUCGAUGUUUUGUAGAAAAAAGGUCAUACACACCGUGUCCGUUCUCCGUUCCCAUGCAACGUAACGGCACUUUACUUGGAGCGAUCGCGCUCUCGCCCGACGUCACUGCGCUCGUUGUACGCUCUAAACUAGUCAAGCGGAUCCGCAAUAAGCGUGCCACGAGGGUUAUCGUCGUGAGAUAUACUAUAUCUACUGGCUGACGUAUUAGUGAUGAGCCUGUAGACUCAUGAGAAAAUAAGAUGCCUAAAGAUUCUUCGCAAAACGCGCUCCUAUUUUCUUUAUCAGAGAGACCAAACAACAGUCGAAGGAACAAACAACUCUCCUCGCGCUCCGGCGAUAUAGACGACGUAUUGGAAUCGAUGUUUUAUCAAAGUAUAUCAUAGCGAAGAGCGCGUUCAGAGAAUCGUUCGAGAUAAACCGGAGGAGAAAGACUGAUGAAA